rnacentral:rRNA from 1 species
CACGGGGGGAGCAAGCGUUGUUCGGAAUCACUGGGCGUAAAGGGCGUGUAGGCGGUCAAGUAAGUGGAAUGUGAAAGCCCCCGGCUUACCCGGGGAUCUGCAUCCCAAACUGCUUGGCUUGAGUACGGGAGAGGAUAGGGGAAUUCCUGGUGUAGCGGUGAAAUGCGUAGAUAUCAGGAAGAACACCCGUGGCGAAGGCGGCUCUCUGGGACGGUACUGACGCUGAGACGCGAAAGCGUGGGGAGCGAACAGG